AGCGAACGCUGGCGGCAGGCCUAACACAUGCAAGUCGAACGAACUCUUCGGAGUUAGGGGCGGACGGGUGUGUAACACGUGGGAACGUUCACUUUGGUUCGGCAUAACUCAGGGAAACUUGUGCUAAUACCGAAUGUGCCCUUCGGGGGAAUGAUUUAUCGCCAUUGGAGCGGCCCGCGUCUGAUUAGUUAGUUGGUGAGGUAACGGCCCACCAAGGCGACGAUCAGUAGCUGGUCUGAGAGGAUGACCAGCCACACUGGGACUGAGACACGGCCCAGACUCCUACGGGAGGCAGCAGUGGGGAAUAUUGCGCAAUGGGCGAAAGCCUGACGCAGCCAUGCCGCGUGAAUGAUGAAGGUCUUAGGAUUGUAAAAUUCUUUCACCAGGGACGAUAAUGACGGUACCCGGAGAAGAAGCCCCGGCUAACUUCGUG
rnacentral:rRNA from 1 species